GCUGAGAUCCCGCCUCUGCGCCAGCUUAACCUGGGUUGGCUGUCUCUGCUGCUGAUUUCGCCGCUCCUAUUGGUCAGUGGGAGUGAUCAGGUUAGGUUGCACUCUGAGCUGUCAGUGUCGCUCUUCCCUGCAGGUGCGGGUCAUUGGUGAUGGCGCGUGGUUGUCGCAGAGUCCUGGUCGCUUGGCAGAGGUUGUUGAUGGAGCGAGAGCCCCUGUGAUACCGAGAGCUGAACCCCGUGCUGUUUGGAUGCGCUGAGAGAAUAUGGCCACUAUGGAGAAGCUCAUGAGAGCGUUUGAGUCUCUUAAGUCCUUUCAGCAGCAGCAGCAAGGACCGGUGGUACCCGAAGAGGAGGGGAAACUAGUGAUGCUGGUGCUGGAGAUGUUCAUCUUGGUACUGCAGCAAUGGCACAAAGAGAAUGAAGACAAAUGGAAAAAGUUGUUGAGGCAGAUUGGACAGCAUUGGUAGAAUGACAUCUGCAAACAGCAGAUGCAUAUAGACUCGCAUGAGGCUCUCAGUUUUUUAAAUACUUUAUUUGAAACUUUGGCCUCUUCGGCUCUUCGGCCGGUAGACAUGUUAUUAAGAAGUAUGUUUGUCGUACCAUUCACUAUGGCCUCCGUGAGCACCGUCCAGCUGUGGAUAUCGGAGAUCCUGGCUAUUCUCAGAGUUCUCAUCUCUCAGUCCACCGAGGAUAUUGUUCUAUCUCGUAUACAGGAGCUCUCCUUGUCACCAAAGCUUAUCUGCUGUCAGAAUAUCCUGAAGCUUAGGGAAGGGGAUAAUCCGUUAUCUGCAGAAGUCUAUCAUGAGCAGGGUGAGAAUAAGCCACCCCCUGAGGAAACCUUCUCUCGGUUCCUGCUUCAGUUGGUGCAUCCAUAUAGAGGACAUUGUGUACAAGGAGCUGAAGGUGGAUGUGAGUGAGUAACAACACACCUUCUAUUGCCAACAGCUGGGCACCUUACUCAUGUGCUUGAUUCACAUCUUCAAAUCGGUUGCAGUAGAACCAGGUGACCAGAUUCUCAGUCCAGAAAGAAGAAAGAACAAGACUUCAGAAGAUGCAGAAGAAGGUCAAGCGGAUUCUAAUGAGCAAAGUAAGCGGCUGUGUAGCUAUAAGCUACUGGUAACCACAUUAUAGUCAUUUUAAGGCCUAACAAACCUAUGGGAAGAUGCUGAUCACUUCGAGCCCAACCAGCAACUCAUGGGAUCCUCAGUGUCUGCUUCCCUUUUUAACUGGGAUUUUGCUGUUAUGGUGGAUGGCGAGAGUAAAGGCAGCUCAUAGUAUGAGAUGGGUAAUGGACUGGAAUUUGUUAUAGGUAAUGCCUGAGACUUUCUGGAUGAGAAAACCAUUUGAAUAUUUUUUAUGUUAGUUAUCUUUACUAAAAUAAUAUAAUCAUUAAAAAGCUUUGGGAUUCGAUAAUAUCGCCAACAAGGAUUUAUGCAGCUCAGUUACCAUCAUAUACUGUACAAGGUACUGUCUUAUUAUUACAAACUGUUUUCCUAAAGCAUUCCCAUUUUUCAGAAUUUUCUGGAUAAUAGACCCCCUUACCUGUAUUACCUGCCAUUUAGACUCUGGGAUCAUCAAUCACUGCACCGUAAGCAAAGAAGAAGACUAUAUUUGGUUAGAGUUUUGGCGUAAAGACAGGCAAUCGCAUUGUAAUACAUUUAAAUUCAAGAUGCUUCUCUUCUUUUAUUAGAACCAGUUUUAUUGAAGAUGGCCUGUGAAAUGAUUUCUGAAAUGGUCGAAUCCCUGCAGGCCGUAUUUGGCCACCAAUGGAACAGAAACAUUGCAACAUUUCUCACCCCUGUCUUUAGAAAUAUUAUCAUUAGCUUGGCACGGUUGCCUUUAGUUAAUAGUUACACCAGAGUUCCUCCUUUGGAUGGAGCAGUCGCAUGCAGUUUGAGGAGACAUGGGCCACCCAUCUUGGAGUUCUGGUGACGCAGCCAAUGGUAAUGGACCAAGACGAGAAUCAGCAAGAGGAAGACACAGAGAAGACCCAGAUCAAUGUCCUGACAGUUGAAGCCAUCAAAUCUCUACACUUCUAAGCGCAUGACCAUUCCAGUUGCAGGCAACCCCGCCAUCAGUUUCCUAGAGCAGCAGCCAAGGAACAA